AGCGACGCCGCGUGGGGGAAGAAAGCCUUCGGGUCGUAAACCCCUGUUCUGGGGGAAGAACCCUGCCUUAGUGAAUAGCUAAGGCAGGCUGACGGUACCCCAGGAGAAAGCCACGGCUAACUGCGUGCCAGCAGCCGCGGUAAUACGCAGGUGGCAAGCGUUGCCCGGAAUCACUGGGCGUAAAGGGUGCGUAGGCGGCUGGGUAAGUCGCAGGUUAAAGCCCGGGGCUCAACCCUGGAAAGGCCUGCGAUACUGCCUGGCUUGAGGGCCGGAGAGGCUGGCGGAAUUCCCGGUGUAGGGGUGAAAUCCGUAGAUAUCGGGAGGAACACCGGUGGGGAAGCUGGCCAGCUGGGCGGUCCCUGACGCUGAGGCACGAAAGCGUGGGGAGCAAACCGGAUUAGAUACCCGGGUAGUCCACGCCGUAAACGAUGGGUGCUAGGUUUGGGGAGGUAAACUCUCUGGGCCGAAGCUAACGCGUUAAGCACCCCGCCUGGGGAGUACGGCCGCAAGGCUGAAACUCAAAGGAAUUGACGGGGGCCCGCACAAGCGGUGGAGCACGUGGUUUAAUUCGAUGCAAAGCGAAGAACCUUACCUGGGCUUGACAUGCCAGGGUUGUACCCCGGUGGAAACACUGGGGGAGCGUGGGGUUUUCUCACGCGCUCUGGCACAGGUGCUGCAUGGCUGUCGUCAGCUCGUGUCGUGAGAUGUUGGGUUAAGUCCCGCAACGAGCGCAACCCCUGCCCUUAGUUGCCAGCGGGUAAUGUCGGGCACUCUAAGGGGACUGCCGGGGAUAACCCGGAGGAAGGAGGGGAUGACGUCAAGUCCUCAUGGCCCUUAUGCCCAGGGCUACACACGUGCUACAAUGGGGGGUACAGAGGGAUGCGAACCCGCGAGGGGGAGCUAAUCCCAGAAAGCCCUCCUCAGUUCGAUCGGGGUCUGCAACUCGACCCCGUGAAGCCGGAAUCGCUAGUAAUGGCGGAUCAGCAGGCCGCCGUGA
rnacentral:rRNA from 1 species